rnacentral:lncRNA from 1 species
ACUUUUNUUUGACAUCUUAUGACAUGAUCUUGUGAUACCUGGUACUCAUUUGAGGGGGAGAUAUAUAAGGCUGUUAGAUAUGUGGUUAUUCAUCUAUACUUUGGUAUUUCAUCUUGUAUUUGCCUCUCAUUUUAUAAAAGUUCAAAUUUUAUAAAUUGCAUCUCUCUUUUGAUGAGGGUGAGAGCCAUUUAAGGGAAUAUCUUUACCUUAUGAUCUUAG